UACGGAGGGUGCAAGCGUUAAUCGGAAUUACUGGGCGUAAAGCGUGCGUAGGCGGUUCGUUAAGUCUGUUGUGAAAGCCCCGGGCUCAACCUGGGAAUGGCAAUGGAUACUGGCGAGCUAGAGUGUGUCAGAGGAUGGUGGAAUUCCCGGUGUAGCGGUGAAAUGCGUAGAGAUCGGGAGGAACAUCAGUGGCGAAGGCGGCCAUCUGGGACAACACUGACGCUGAGGCACGAAAGCUAGGGGAGCAAACAGG
rnacentral:rRNA from 1 species